GGGGAUGUAGCUCAGUGGCAUAAGCGCCUGCCUUGCAAGCAGGUGGUCGUGAGUUCGAUCCCCGGUACCA
rnacentral:tRNA from 1 species